UUACUCACCUGCCUUUGCGGGGAACACCUCGGAGCAGCGGCGUCAGGGACUCGUGACAGAGAGCUGGGACAGUGACAUUCCCAGCACUGGGAAUGCUGUGGGGCACUGGGGCAGAGACCUGGCCUGGCUGCCUCCCAUAUCCUGCUCCCAAGAAAAUUUACUCCUACAGGAUGAGAAUCCUUCUUGGCUGCCUUCAUUUCUACUUCAUUCCUUUCUUACUCAGCCAGGCCCAAGGAUUCCUAAUGUCGAGAACACCUCCAGCCUUCCUGGUUUAUGACUACUCCUAUUCAAAUCUCUCCUCUGUCUCAGAAGCACGAGCUCCAAAAACAGCAAGAGCUCUCAAUUUCUCACACAAUGUCAUUGAAAAUAUUACCAAGGGAGACUUGGAAGGAUUUGACUGGCUGGAAGGUCUGGACUUUUCCUACAAUCGGAUCAGGGCUGUUGAGCCUGGAGCAUUCCUGAGUCUGCUCAGCCUGGUUUCUGUGGAUUUAUCAUUUAAUGAUGAGAAGCUGCUUCUGUCAGAUCUCCCACCCCACCUGAAGCUCUCACCUGCUGGCAAAGCUCCGAGGUCUUUGCAGCUUUCCAGGAAUUCUGGCAGAUCCUCAGGGGCUGCUCUGGAGCCCUCUGCUCCUGCAGAGGAGCUGUCACGUUCUGGAGUUCUGUCUCUCCUGCAAAUCCUCAGCCCCAGGCUCAGGAGAAGCCCAGGGAAUCUUCUUCGGAAGGGAGAGAGGAACACAACAGCCCUUCCCACAGCCUCACCUGAGCCCACCCUCUGUGGAACUCCCAUCAACGGGACACUCAACCUGUCCCACAGCAACCUCACCCAGGACGAGCUGAUGUUAAAACUGGAUGAGGAUCUCUGCCAAGCCCAGCUGGACAAGAUUUUGGAGCUUGACAUCAGUCACAACAACGUGGAAAUGGAUCUUCUGUCACUGUUUGCCCUGUUCUUCCACAUGGAAAACACGCUGUCCAUUGAUGCCAGCUCCAACAAGUUAACCAUUAACAUCCUGGAUGCUCAGUCCUUCUGUGAGUUCCCAUCCCACCAGCUUUUGUUCCUAAACAUCAGCAACAACCCCAUUAACAACCUGGAUACGCUGUGCCUCCCUUCCAGCAUCAAGGAAAUUGAUUUGUCCUUCACCAACAUCAGCCAAAUACCCCCGAAUUUUGCUAAAAAAUUGCUUAACUUGGAAAAAAUGUAUGUUCAAGGAAACCACUUCAUCUACACAGCGUUCUCAGAAAGUGGGGAUACACUUCCAAUGUGUGUCCCUCCCCCUGGAACUGUGCACAUCAACGCCAUCUCCUUUGUCAGGAAACAGGUUGGGACACCCAUUGAAAGCCUUCCAGAGAAAGUGAAACACCUGGGAAUGUCCAACUGCUCCAUUGUGGAACUGCCGGAGUGGUUUGCUGACACAGUGGAAGAACUGUUAUUUCUGGACCUCAGCAGCAACCACAUUUCUGUACUUCCCAAUUUCCCCCCCUCCCUGCAGCAUUUAGACAUCAGCAACAACGACAUCAAAGUCAUCUCCCCCAGUCUGAAAUCCCUCUCCAACUUAACAGUAUUUAGGAUUCAAAAUAACAAAAUUAUGGGUAUACACACGGAGUUUUUUCCAUCAGCCUUAAAAAAAUGUGAUCUUAGUAAAAACAAGGUGAAGGUGUUGUCCUUAAGUUCUGCCCUGGAGAAGCUGGAACACCUCAACGUUUCUGGGAACCUGAUCACGCGUCUGGAGCCUGCCGGCCGCCUUCCUGCACUGACCAGCCUGGACAGCAGCCACAACCUGCUCCCAGAACUGCCCGAUGGCUUCGGGGCAUCCCUCCCAGGGCUGAAGUACUUUAACCUGUCAGGGAAUAAGAUCUCCUUUCUGCAGCGUGGCUCUCUCCCAGCUUCUCUGGUCGAGCUGGACAUCAGUGACAAUGCCAUCACCACCAUUGUGGAGGCCACGUUCGGCCCGCUGACGAGCCUCAGGCUUCUGACUGCCCAAGGGGAGCAUUUUUUCUGUACCUGUGACCUGUACUGGUUCGUGAACAUCUACCUCCACGAGCCCCAGCUGGAGAUCAGGGGCAGGGGGGCCAUGAGGUGCAGCUUCCCCCCGGAGCGGCGGGGCUCCCCGGUGGGCGGCAGCCGCCUGACGCUGCUGCACUGCUCCCUGGGUGUCCAGCUGGCCGUGACUGCUGCUGCUGCCAGCCUGGCCGUGCUGGCCCUCACCGUCCUCUGCUGGAGACUGGACGGGCCCUGGUACAUCAGGAUGGGCUGGUACUGGUGCAUGGCCAAGAGGAAGCAGUAUGAGAAGCGGCCAGAAGACAAACUCUUCGACGCCUUCAUCUCAUACAGCGAGCACGACGCCGAGUGGACCAAAGAGAACCUGCUGGAAAAACUGGAAAAUGAUGGGUUCAGGAUAUGUUACCAUGAGAGGGAUUUCAAGCCAGGGCAUCCUGUGCUUGGGAACAUUUUUUACUGCAUAGAGAACAGCCAUAAAGUGCUUUUUGUUCUUUCUCCCAGCUUUGUGAACAGCUGCUGGUGCCAGUACGAGCUGUAUUUUGCCGAACACCGGGUCCUGAAUGAAAACCUGGAUUCCCUCAUCAUGAUCGUGCUGGAAGAUCUCCCACCCCACAGCAUCCCACAGAAAUUCAGCAAACUCAGGAAACUGCUGAGAAGGAAAACUUACUUGAAGUGGAGCCUUGAGGAACACAAGCAGAAAAUGUUCUGGCAUCAGCUAAAAGCUGUCCUAAAAACAACCAACGAGCCGCUCGUGAGAGCGGAGAACGGAUCUGCUCUGGAAAUGCAGGAGCUGGAAUGAGACCCAGGGAACUCUGAGGGCUGUGCCUGGAAAACCUGUAGUCAGAUAAAAGCAUUUACCUCCUGCAAAAGCUGCUGUGAUGCCCAGGGGUUUGUCUGCAUCAGUCCCAGGAGAGGCUCCUAGGGGGACUGCAGCACGCUCGUUAUUCCCUCUGAUAAAGCAUCCUGAAGGGAAGAGACCCGAGCACUGAUAAGAAGCCUUUUCCUCCUGGAUGCUUCAAUUUGUCCAGCUAUUCCCAGCAUUUCUUUAAAUGCUGUGGGUGUCAUCUGCAAGGAAGAACUGCUCAAGUCACGCUGCAUGUCCUUGCUGCCUUCCUGAGGUGGUGGCAGUGAGAAGCAGUGUCUUAGACUACAGAUUCCCACUUCUGGGAGAGCUGAGGUGGGAACACGUCCUGUGUGCAGGAAAGUUCCACCUCACACAGCCUGACCCAUUUCCAAUGGAUUCAGCCAUACCUCUGCAUGGUCCUUGUCCUCACCUAGUGCCACUUGAUAAUUUUAUUUGUUGUGCUUGGGAAAAAACAAAAGAAAUUCAGCUGAUCCAACUUUCACAUUCAAGGGAAAUCAACAGACUGUUGACAGAAAACAAACACCAGGUAAGGACAAAUUAUUUGGUUUAGCACGAUUUGGACUUGCUCCUAUGAUGAGCAACCACAAACAACUUCCCAGUAGAAAAUCCCCAGUCCAGGAAUGCAGAAUGUUUGGAACACAGACUCUGAAAAGGAAUUGGCUCUGCUGUGACAAAACAAGAGCAAUACCAACCUAUUUGCUGCCAAAAAGGGGGA